rnacentral:lncRNA from 1 species
UGGUCCCGCGAUCCUACUUGAGGGAAAACAGGCUAUCUCUUUAGCCCCGCCCCGCGCUUUGCAUUCUGGGAAGCGGAGUUCCAGCCUUUCUCUUUCCGCGGGAGGGAAUGAAAGGGAGGGUAGACUGAGAACGAAUCAUCUCAGUACAACUGGGAAUUUAGCCACAUAGGGGUUGGAUUCCACCGCAAGUAAAAAGUGGUGGAUGUGCCCAAGACACAGGGAAGAAAAAGAAGUAAACAGGGAAGUACAACACAGACUCUGAAAUGGGGCAUCAUGGAAGACGGAGCUUUGUCGUCUUGGUCUUUGCUGUAUAUUCACUUCCUACAACAGUGCUAAAUACCUUGUGGAUGCUUAAAUAUAUUAAAUGAAUGCAUAAAUGAAAAGAGUAAAUAAAGAGUGUAUAUGAAAGUAUGUAGAUAAAAUUCUUCACUAAGCCUUGGGGAUCCAGCUGCUUAAGGACUAAGACCGUAUCUAGCUCCUUUUAGUAUUUCCACAGCAUGCCAUGGAGAUACAUGUUUCUGAUUAUAUAUGAUACAUGGAAAUUAUAUGUUGUUGAAUGAGUGAUUGAGUAAAUGUGUACUAGGGCAGCUAAUCAUAAAUAUUUCUACUAUUGCUAAAAUGACUGGAUUUAUCCAUUCCUUCUGAGAGUUUAUACUGAUUGCUUAUAUUGUAUCAAAUACCGUAACUGAGGGCAAUGUUUACUCAAACUAAUAGCACCAUUCAAAUUUAUGCAAACAAUAACACUAUAUCUUUAAAAUGUUUUCACUAAAAGCUGCAUAAAGAGUGUAUUCAACAACAAUAGAAUAAUUUUACAAUCUUUUUUCUUGCUUAAUGGCCAUUUGUGCCUUCUGACAUGCUGCUAGCCAUUCAAAGGUCACACUACCUUGAAGUUGAAGAUCAAGACAAAUGAUUAGACUCAUAAAAGACAAAUCACGUCUUUCUGGACAGGUGAUUAUUAAUAAUUAAUUAGCAUUUAAACAUGUAUUAUUUAAGUUCUUUUUAAGUUAUAAAGUCUUUGAUUUGCUAAACAGUUUAAAUAAUGAAUAAAACAUAAAAUAAUAAUAGUUACCAUUUAUUUAAUUCCAUAAUAACUGAUUUGUAUGUAUUAUAAGCUUUCUUUCUGAAAGCAGAGUUUGGAGGUGGGUUCAUAACUUUCUACAAACAGAAAACUGAGAUUUAGAGGGUUAGCUAGGGAAGAAUUUAAAAUUAGAUCCGUCUUAUUAAAAAAACAAUCUAUGUUCUUGUCUUAGUCAGCUUGGGCCUCCAUAACAAAAUACAAUGGACUGUUGGCUUCAAAAACUGAAACUUAUUUUCUCACAGUUUUGGUGGCUGGUGGGUCAGAGAUCAAGGUGUUGGCCAAAUGUGUUUUUUUUUUUUUUUUUGAGGAUUCUCUUCCUGGCUCACAAAUGGCUGCUUUCCUUGUCAUUGAUGACUUGAUACAGAGGGGGAGAGGGAGAGAGAGAGAGAGCAAAGUGUGUGUUUGUGUGUGUGUCUCUGUGUGUGUUUAUAUUAGAGAGAGAGAGAGACAGAGAUCUUACACUUUUUAUAAGGUCACAGUCUUGUGGUAUUAGUACCUCAUUUUUAUGACCUCAUUUAACCUUAAUUACCUCCUAGAGCCUUUAUCGCCAGAUACAGUCACAUUUCACAUCGAAGGUUUGGGCUUCGACAUAUAAAUUCUGUGGGAUACAAUUCAGUCCAUAGCAAUUCUGAAGCACUAUAAUAUACUCUUUUAAUUUUUAAAUAAAGAUGGAAUUAUUUAA